rnacentral:lncRNA from 1 species
GAAGGCCUUUUCUAAAGUUGCUCUCCAGACGAGAGAAUUCGCCCUUCUCUACGACUCUCAAUCCUAGUAGGUACUAAUCUAAUCAUGUUAUUAUUGUUUUUUUUUUUUUGCAGCCCCCUGUUUGAUUCCCAAGAAAAUCCAUUCUCCAUUCGAUUUCUGAGAAAAUUCAUCAUUGUUUGAUUUCCAAGAAAAUCCAUGCAAAACCCCCAAGGAAAACAAAAAAAAAUUGUUUUUUUUUUUUUUUUGCUUCUUGUGUUUUCUGUUUGCAAAACCCCCGUUUGAUUCCCAAGAAAAUCCAUUCCCCAUUUGAUUUUUGGGAAAAUUCAUCCUCGUUUGAUUUCCGAGAAAAUCCGUGUAAAACCCCCAAGGAAAACCAAAAAAAUUGUUUUUUUUUUUUUGCUCCCUGUGUUUUCUCUUUGCAAAACCCUUGUUUAUUCCCAAGAAAAUCCAUCCCCUAUUCGAUUUCUAGGGAAAUUCAUCCUCUUUUGAUUUCCGAGAAAAUCCAUGCAAAACCCCCAAGGAAAACCAAAAAAAUUGCUUUUUUUUUUGCUCCCAGUGUUUUCUGGAACUGUUCUAGGGGUUUUUUUUUGCUUUUAUGCCAUUGGAUUUAAAUUUCACGAACCCUAAAUCCACGAUUUUUGAGCCAGACUGAAAAACACAAUCUUGGCUUGCAAAUCAUGAUCAGAUUACGAAAUAGCAUCUUAUGUUUUUUUAUAAAAAAAAUUGGACAGAUUUUAUAUCUUGUGCACGGGCUAGAAUGGUAGGAAAUGUUGGGAAAUUUCCCGAAAAAUCGGUAAAAAUACUGAUAAAUACCGAAAUAUCAGCGAUAUUUUCGAUAAAUUACCAAAAUUUCCGUAAACUGGUAAUUGAUGACGAAUAUUGUGUCAAAGUCGGCCGAUAAGCGAUAUUUCUCUGAAAUAUCACCGAAAUUUUUCAACAUUUCAAUCCUUGAUUCCAUUGUGAGGUGUAUUUGUAUAUCUAUCAUGAUUGUGCAUGGUUUGGAGUCAAACAUUUGCUUCUCUAUUAAUUUUAGAAUGAAUAUGUUAAUUAGGCCUUUAAUUUACUCCCUUUCAGUAAUGUGUAUACCUGUUUUUUUAAAGGAUAUUAAGGCAAGUAUAGAUCACGCAUGGCUGAAGUAAGCCUUGGUGUGCUUAUGGAUAUUAUGGAUGAGGAAUGGAUGAGAGACACUCUACCUGUUGAUGGUAAAUUUUGUCCCUCUUCCAAAUUUCACAUGGUACACAUAGACACAGGAAAUAAAUUUUCCUAUAUUCUUUUCAUAGUCCACUUGUUUUAAGUUGUCAUUCCUUUACCUUCACAUAUCUUCCAUUGCCACCUAUAUUGGUUGCUCGAACUAAAGAUACGGAAGACUCAAGUAUGUCUUUACAUAUAACGCUUUAUUAAAUUGAUGAUAUUUGGAAAAUAGUUGGUUUUUGUUUUUGGAUGCAUAUGUUAAUACUCUUUUAAUGCUUCAUUUGCUAUGGGUGUCUUUAUCCAUCAAUAAUCGUGAUGAUCAGAUUACCAAAUCAUGAUCAGAUUAGAUUACCAAAUAGCAUCUUAUGUAUUUUUUUAAAAAAAAAAAAAAAAAUUGGACAUAUUUUGUAUCUUGUGUGCAAGCUGGACUAGUAGGAAAUAUUGGGAAAUUUCUUGAAAAAUCGGUAAAAAUACCGAUAAACGCAUGUUGUUGUGUUUCAAAUCAAAUGGGUUCUUCUUCCCUAGGCACUUAAUUUUGUGGCUUUGAAUGGGUCUUUGCCUCUUUCAAUCGAUUAAAUGAAGGUGUGGAAAUGGUAAUAUUUCAUUUUUCUAUUUGUUCUUGUUAGUUAAAUUCUAAUAAUCUAUUUUCCUCUUUUGGUCAUGUAGAACAUCAUUGAAUCAAGAUUAUGUUGAUUUUGGUUUCACCUACAUCAAACUUGAGAUCCAAAACCUCAAAAUUUCUACAUAUUAGAUCUUUAAUUAUUGGGUACAUUCUAGUUUGCUUUGUGAUUUAUUGAAGAAAAAGUGUGGAUUGUGUGAUGGUUGAAAUAUUUAGUUAUUGGGUUUUUUGAUUUUGAGUCUCAAAGGGACUUGUCAAGUUGUAAGCAUUUGAAAUUCUUUGGUUUCCAUUUGAAUUCUAG